GAUGAAGAACGUAGCGAAAUGCGAUACGUAAUGUGAAUUGCAGAAUUCAGUGAAUCAUCGAAUCUUUGAACGCAUAUUGCGCUCUCUGGUAUUCCGGAGAGCAUGCUUGUUUGAGUAUCAGUAAACACCUCAACUUCCAUAUCUUUUUUGAAAUGGGAGUUGGACUUGAGUGAUCCCAACGCUUUUCCUCACCGAAAAGUGGCGGGUUACUUGAAAUGCAGGUGCAGCUGGACUUUUCUCUGAGCUAUAAGCAUAUCUAUUUAGUCUGCCUAAAAAACAGAUUAUUACCUUUGCUGCAGCUAACAUAAAGGAGAUUAGUUCUUGUGCUGACUGAUGCAGGAUUCACAAAGACAGCUUCGGCCGACUUUGUAAACUCGAUCUCAAAUCAAGUAAGACUACCCGCUGAACUUAAGCAUAUCAAUAAGCGUAGGA
rnacentral:misc_RNA from 1 species